GAACGAGAAAGUGGAGCAAUCCAUGAGUAAAGUGGCGACCGGGUGAGUAACACGUGACUAACCUACCUUUCAGUGGGGAAUAACCUCGGGAAACCGGGGCUAAUACCGCAUAACGUCUACGGACCAAAGGAGCAAUUCGCUGGAAGAGGGGGUCGCGGCCGAUUAGCUAGUUGGCGGGGUAACGGCCCACCAAGGCAAUGAUCGGUAGCCGGCCUGAGAGGGCGCACGGCCACACUGGAACUGAAACACGGUCCAGACUCCUACGGGAGGCAGCAGUGGGGAAUUUUGCGCAAUGGGGGAAACCCUGACGCAGCAACGCCGCGUGGAGGAUGAAGUCCCUUGGGACGUAAACUCCUUUCGAUCGGGACGAUUAUGACGGUACCGGAAGAAGAAGCCCCGGCUAACUUCGUG
rnacentral:rRNA from 1 species